rnacentral:rRNA from 1 species
ACUAGAGACCGGCGCACCCUUGUGUAACGCGUAUGCAAUCUACCUUUUGCAGAGGGAUAGCCCAGAGAAAUUUGGAUUAAUACCUCAUAGUAUAGUACUUUGGCAUCAAGGAACUAUUAAAGUCACAACGGCAAAAGAUGAGCAUGCGUCCCAUUAGCUAGUUGGUAAGGUAACGGCUUACCAAGGCGACGAUGGGUAGGGGUCCUGAGAGGGAGAUCCCCCACACUGGUACUGAGACACGGACCAGACUCCUACGGGAGGCAGCAGUGAGGAAUAUUGGACAAUGGGCGCAAGCCUGAUCCAGCCAUGCCGCGUGCAGGAUGACGGUCCUAUGGAUUGUAAACUGCUUUUGUACAGGAAGAAACACCCCGACGUGUCGGGGCUUGACGGUACUGUAAGAAUAAGGAUCGGCUAACUCCGUGCCAGCAGCCGCGGUAAUACGGAGGAUCCAAGCGUUAUCCGGAAUCAUUGGGUUUAAAGGGUCCGUAGGCGGCUUUAUAAGUCAGUGGUGAAAUCUCCCCGCUCAACGGGGAAACGGCCAUUGAUACUGUAAGGCUUGAAUUAUUAGGAAGUAACUAGAAUAUGUAGUGUAGCGGUGAAAUGCUUAGAGAUUACAUGGAAUACCAAUUGCGAAGGCAGGUUACUACUAAUGGAUUGACGCUGAUGGACGAAAGCGUGGGUAGCGAACAGGAUUAGAUACCCUGGUAGUCCACGCCGUNAACGAUGGAUACUAGCUGUUGGGGGCAACUUCAGUGGCUAAGCGAAAGUGAUAAGUAUCCCACCUGGGGAGUACGUUCGCAAGAAUGAAACUCAAAGGGAAUGACGGGGGCCCCGCACAGCGGUGGAGCAUGUGGUU